rnacentral:rRNA from 1 species
AGAGUUUGAUCCUGGCUCAGAACGAACGCUGGCGGCGUGCUUAACACAUGCAAGUCGAACGCGAAAGUUUUCUUCGGAAGACGAGUAGAGUGGCGCACGGGUGAGUAACGCGUAAGUUAUCUACCUCGGCAUCUGGAAUAACUCACCGAAAGGUGUGCUAAUACCGGAUACGUUGAGUAAUCAAGAAAGGUGGCCUCUGAAUAUGCUACUGUGCUGAGAUGAGCUUGCGUACCAUUAGCUAGUUGGUAGGGUAAUGGCCUACCAAGGCUACGAUGGUUAGCUGGUCUGAGAGGAUGAUCAGCCACACUGGAACUGACACACGGUCCAGACUCCUACGGGAGGCAGCAGUGGGGAAUAUUGCGCAAUGGGCGAAAGCCUGACGCAGCAACGCCGCGUGAGGGAUGAAGGUUCUCGGAUUGUAAACCUCUGUCGGGGGGACAAACCUAUGCUGGCUAAUAUCCAGCAUAAUUUGAUGGUACCCCCAAA